AGUGAACGCUGGCGGCAGGCCUAACACAUGCAAGUCGAACGGCAGCACAAGAGAGCUUGCUCUCUGGGUGGCGAGUGGCGGACGGGUGAGGAAUGCAUCGGAAUCUGCCCAUUUGUGGGGGAUAACCUCGGGAAACCGGGACUAAUACCGCAUACGACCUACGGGUGAAAGCAGGGGAUCUUCGGACCUUGCGCAGAUGGAUGAGCCGAUGCCGGAUUAGCUAGUUGGAGGGGUAAAGGCCCACCAAGGCGACGAUCCGUAGCUGGUCUGAGAGGAUGAUCAGCCACACUGGGACUGAGGCACGGCCCAGACUCCUACGGGAGGCAGCAGUGGGGAAUAUUGGACAAUGGGCGCAAGCCUGAUCCAGCCAUGCCGCGUGUGUGAAGAAGGCCUUCGGGUUGUAAAGCACUUUUGUUGGGAAAGAAAAGCAGCCGGUUAAUACCCGGUUGUCAUGACGGUACCCAAAGAAUAAGCACCGGCUAACUUCGUG
rnacentral:rRNA from 1 species